GCGACACUAGCUCAGUUGAUAGAGCGCAACCUUGCCAAGGUUGAGGUGACACCUUCUAGUUUAGAAGAAGGGAACCUAGUGUGUCGCUCCA
rnacentral:tRNA from 1 species